rnacentral:rRNA from 1 species
GAACGCUCUACUCAAUCAUGGAGUGGCGGACGGGUGAGUAACCAUGGGUACCUACCCCGAGGUGAGGAAUACCGGCGAGAAAUCGCCGACAAUACCGCAUAUGCUUCGCUCGCGAAGCAAAGCUCGCAAGGGCGCCUUAGGAUGGGCCUGUGGCCGAUUAGCUAGUUGGUGAGGUAAAGACUCACCAAUGCGACGAUCGGUAUCUGGUCUGAUAGGAUGGUCAGUCUCUCUGGGAUUGAGAACGGUCCAGACUCCUACGGGGGGCAGCAGUGAGGAAUUUUCGUCAAUGGGGGCAACCCUGAACGAUCAACGCCGCGUGCAUGAUGACUCUUUUCGGAGUGUAAACUGCUUUUCUUGGGGACGAGUAAUGACGGUACCCAUUGAACAAGCCCCGGCUAUCUACGUGCCAUCAGCCGCGGUAAU